ACACCCGGCCAGGGAGCGCGUGUCCUGCGGAGGCGGCAGCAGGUCCGGGUGACGCCAGGGAGCCAGGGGCGGCGAGGUCACGCGUGGAGACUACGCCAGCCUAGCCCACGUGUGCGCCGGAUUUAAAAGUUGGUGGCGCGCGGAGAUGGUCACUUUGGUGUCUGAGCUCAGCAAGAGGCGCUCGGGGGACGCUGAGGGACAGCUUUAACACCCGCACAACACAGGGUACCUGGUUCCCAGUCCAGAGCUGCUUGGAGGGCAGAGAUGUCGCGAGCAGCUAAUCGCCGCCCAGGGCUCUCCGCAGGACAAUUGGCCGCUGCAACUGCAUCUCCUCUCCUGUCACUGCUGCUGCUGCUCGCCUGCUGUGCGGACGCUUGCAGAGGUACGCCAAUAUCGCCUCAAAGAUUACCACCAGAACAAGAACUACAAUUGUGGAAUGAGAUUCCUGAAGCUUGUGCGUCCUUUCUGUCUGUUGAUUCCCAGCCUCAGGCAUCUGUUGCAUUGAGGAAGCUUUGCCGUGUCCUGAUGGAGAUUUUCCAGAAGCCUCAGGAGCAAACUGAGAAAGAUAAUGCUAAGAGGUUCUUAUUUCAUUAUUCAAAGACACAGAAGUUGGGAAAUUCAAAUGUUGUGUCGUCUGUCGUGCAUCCGUUGCUGCAGCUCGUUCCUCAACUGCAUGAGAGAAGAAUGAAGAGAUACAAAGUGAAUGUAUGUAAGACCGACUGCAUGCCGGCUUUGCCGCUCUGUGGCGACCCCUUCCGCUAAUCACAGCUGUGGUCCUUUGUAAGAUACCCCUCUUCAGGGAAUACCAGGGUCCUGUAGCUCCAAGUGGGGGAUUCUUUUUAUUUAGGCCACGCAAUGGGAAGAGGUCAACAAGUUUCAUUUAAAAUGGAUGCCAAAUGAUCUUUUCAUUGAAAACUCUGCUAUGGGAUAUAAAAUGUACUCACAUUUUGUUCUCAAAAAAAAAAAAAAAAUGAUCCCUCCGAAAUGUAGUCUGUUGCAAACCCCUGUAUUGUAACAUUCUCUGCCAUGGUUGAGAUUAUGAAUGUUUAAUUUGUUGAAAAUAAAACAGCAUCUUGAAAUGUA